UUCAUUUUAAACUCAGUUAAAAUUCCAAGAACUAUUACGUAUAGGCGGUAGCCAUAUAGCGACUGUUUUAUCAAAGAAUAUUCGAAAUUGGAGGUGGAUAGGUGGUUCGUGGAAUCGUCAAUGCUCAUUAAACGCCACACGACUGGAUAUUGGAAUAUCGUGUUUCGUCGUCAGAAAUAAUAUUGUGCGCAAACACAAUUCGAUCUAAAUAUUGAUAUAAAUUAUAGGAAAUUAUUG